UUCGAAUAAUGCGGGAAAUAGUUGACGAAGACGAAGCCCCGCGUCUGGUCGAUGAUGUGGAACAGGGGGUUCCAGUCGAACAUGGCCAGCAUGAACCCCGGCAGCGUGUUCGCGACGAACAUCUUGCCCGAGGCGAUCAUGUUGGCGCGCAC
rnacentral:ncRNA from 1 species